GACGAACGCUGGCGGCGUGCUUAACACAUGCAAGUCGAGCGGUAAGGCCCUUUCGGGGGUACGACGAGCGGCGAACGGGUGAGUAACACGUGGGUGACCUGCCCUCAGCUCUGGGAUAAGCCUGGGAAACCGGGGUCUAAUACUGGAUAUGACUCCAUGACGCAUGUUGUGGGGUGGAAAGCCUUGUGCGGCUGAGGAUGGGCCCGCGGCCUAUCAGCUUGUUGGUGGGGGUAUGGCCUACCAAGG
rnacentral:rRNA from 1 species